AUUGAACGCUGGCGGCAUGCUUUACACAUGCAAGUCGAACGGUAACAGGCCGCGAGGUGCUGACGAGUGGCGAACGGGUGAGUAAUGCAUCGGAACGUGCCCAGUCGUGGGGGGAUAACGCAGCGAAAGCUGCGCUAAUACCGCAUACGAUCUAUGGAUGAAAGCGGGGGACCGUAAGGCCUCGCGCGAUUGGAGCGGCCGAUGUCAGAUUAGGUAGUUGGUGGGGUAAAGGCUCACCAAGCCGACGAUCUGUAGCUGGUCUGAGAGGACGACCAGCCACACUGGGACUGAGACACGGCCCAGACUCCUACGGGAGGCAGCAGUGGGGAAUUUUGGACAAUGGGGGCAACCCUGAUCCAGCAAUGCCGCGUGCAGGAAGAAGGCCUUCGGGUUGUAAACUGCUUUUGUACGGAGCGAAACGGCUCUGGUUAAUACCCGGGGCUAAUGACGGUACCGUAAGAAUAAGCACCGGCUAACUACGUGCCAGCCGCCGCAGUAA
rnacentral:rRNA from 1 species